rnacentral:rRNA from 1 species
GAACGAUGAAGCUGGUGCUUGCACUGGUGGAUUAGUGGCGAACGGGUGAGUAUCACGUGAGUAACCUUCCCUUGACUCUGGGAUAAGCCCGGGAAACUGGGUCUAAUACCGGAUAUGACCGGCCUCCGCAUGGGGUGCUGGUGGAAAGCUUUUGCGGUUUUGGAUGGACUCGCGGCCUAUCAGUUUGUUGGUGAGGUAAUGGCUUACCAAGGCGAUGACGGGUAGCCGGCCUGAGAGGGUGACCGGCCACACUGGGACUGAGACACGGCCCAGACUCCUACGGGAGGCAGCAGUGGGGAAUAUUGCACAAUGGGCGCAAGCCUGAUGCAGCGACGCCGCGUGCGGGAUGACGGCCUUCGGGUUGUAAACCGCUUUCAGCAAGGAAGAAGCUUUUUGUGACGGUACUUGCAGAAGAAGCGCCGGCUAACUACGUGCCAGCAGCCGCGGUAAUACGUAGGGCGCGAGCGUUAUCCGGAAUUAUUGGGCGUAAAGAGCUCGUAGGCGGUUUGCCACGUCUGCUGUGAAAGCCCGGGGCUCAACCUCGGGUGUGCAGUGGGUACGGGUAGGCUGGAGUGCAGUAGGGGAGACUGGAAUUCCUGGUGUAGCGGUGAAAUGCGCAGAUAUCAGGAGGAACACCGAUGGCGAAGGCAGGUCUCUGGGCUGUUACUGACGCUGAGGAGCGAAAGCAUGGGGAGCGAACAGGAUUAGAUACCCUGGUAGUCCAUGCCGUAAACGUUGGGCACUAGGUGUGGGGGACAUUCCACGUUUUCCGCGCCGUAGCUAACGCAUUA